rnacentral:tRNA from 1 species
GGAAGGAUGUCAGAGAGGAUGAAUGAGCAUGCUUGGAAAGUGUGUUAUACCUUUUGGUAUCGUGGGUUCGAAUCCCACUCCUUCCACCA